rnacentral:rRNA from 1 species
ACAACUCACCUGCCGAAUGGACUAGCCCUGAAAAUGGAUGGCGCUGAAGCGGGUGGCCGAGACCACACCGUUUGACGAAUUGGCAACUCGUCGAAUGAGUAGGAGGGCGUGGCGGCCGUGGAGAAGCCGGUGGGCAAUCACUGGUGGAACGGCCGCGAGUGCAGAUCUUGGUGGUAGUAGCAAAUAUUCAAGUGGGUGAACAAACCUUGAAGGGUGAAGCGGGGAAGGGUUUUAUGUGAACAUUGAUUGGGCAUAAGUGAGUCGUUCCUAAGCUGCUGGUUUAUUCUCUCGGGAAUUUUUCUGGCGAAAGGGAAGCAGGUUGACAUUCCUGCACACGGAUGUGGAGGCGGUGACGCCGUUUGAGACAAACACGUUGGCGACAGCUCUGGGCAGAGUUAUCUUUUCUGUUUGACGUCAGGGUGCGCUGUGUGGAAUCCGCUUGUCGGGAGAAACACGCGUGCCCGGGCAGAGCGCCGGACUUUUCCGGCGUCCAGAUCGCUGUCGACAGCCCUUGAAACUUUGUCUGCUGAAGUGAACAAUCCACGCCGUGACGUACCGAUAACCGCAUCAGGUCCCCAAGGUGAACAGCCUCUACUCAAUAUGAACAAUGCAGAUAAGGGAAGUCGGCAAAUUGGACCUGUAACUUUGGGAAAAAGUUGGCUCUAGUGCUGCGCG